UACGUAGGGUGCAAGCGUUGUCCGGAAUUAUUGGGCGUAAAGAGCUCGUAGGCGGUUUGUCGCGUCUGCUGUGAAAACGCGAGGCUCAACCUCGCGCCUGCAGUGGGUACGGGCAGACUAGAGUGCGGUAGGGGAGAUUGGAAUUCCUGGUGUAGCGGUGAAAUGCGCAGAUAUCAGGAAGAACACCCGUGGCGAAGGCGGCUCUCUGGGACGGUACUGACGCUGAGACGCGAAAGCGUGGGGAGCGAACAGG
rnacentral:rRNA from 1 species